GACGUAGGGUGCAAGCGUUGUCCGGAUUUACUGGGCGUAAAGCGCGCGUAGGCGGCUCGUUAAGUGUGGAGUGAAAUGCCGGGGCUCAACCCCGGAACUGCUUUACAUACUGGCGAGCUUGAGGGAUGCAGAGGUUUGUGGAAUUCCUGGUGUAGCGGUGGAAUGCGUAGAGAUCCGGAAGAACACCGGAGGCGAAGGCGGCUUGCUGGGCUUGGUCUGACGCUGAGGCGCGAAAGCGUGGGGAGCGAACAGG
rnacentral:rRNA from 1 species